GGGGUUGUGGCUCAGUGGUAGAGUGCUUGUUUAGCAUGCAUGAAGCACUGGGUUAUAUUCUCAGCACCA
rnacentral:tRNA from 1 species